UACGUAGGUGGCGAACGUUGUCCGGAUUCACUGGGCGUAAAGCGCGCGCAGGCGGACUGAUAAGUCAGAGGUGAAAUUUCCCGGCCCAACUGGGAGGGGCCCUUUGAUACUGUCAGUCUUGAGGCACCUAGAGGAGAGUGGAAUUCCCGGUGUAGUGGUGGAAUGCGUAGAUAUCGGGAGGAACACCAGUGGCGAAAGCGACUCUCUGGGGGUGACCUGACGCUGAGGCGCGAAAGCGUGGGGAGCAAACGGG
rnacentral:rRNA from 1 species